GCAGUGGCGGUUCAGUUGUAGAAUUCUUGCCUUCCAUAUGGGAUAUCUGGGUUCAAUUCCUGGCCAAUGCA
rnacentral:tRNA from 1 species